rnacentral:rRNA from 1 species
GAUGAACGCUGGCGGCGUGCCUAAUACAUGCAAGUCGAGCGAACGGACGAGAAGCUUGCUUCUCUGAUGUUAGCGGCGGACGGGUGAGUAACACGUGGAUAACCUACCUAUAAGACUGGGAUAACUUCGGGAAACCGGAGCUAAUACCGGAUAAUAUUUUGAACCGCAUGGUUCAAAAGUGAAAGACGGUCUUGCUGUCACUUAUAGAUGGAUCCGCGCUGCAUUAGCUAGUUGGUAAGGUAACGGCUUACCAAGGCAACGAUGCAUAGCCGACCUGAGAGGGUGAUCGGCCACACUGGAACUGAGACACGGUCCAGACUCCUACGGGAGGCAGCAGUAGGGAAUCUUCCGCAAUGGGCGAAAGCCUGACGGAGCAACGCCGCGUGAGUGAUGAAGGUGUUCGGAUCGUAAAACUCUGUUAUUAGGGAAGAACAUAUGUGUAAGUAACUGUGCACAUCUUGACGGUACCUAAUCAGAAGGCCACGGCUAACUACGUG